rnacentral:rRNA from 1 species
GGAGUCUGGACCGUUUCUCAGUUCCAAUGUGGCCGUUCAACCUCUCAGUUCGGCUAAUGAUCGUAGAUUUGGUAGGCCGUUACCCCGCCAACUAGCUAAUCAGUCGCAUCCUCAUCCAUCGCCGAUAAAUCUUUAUUCGCCAAACCAUGCGGAAAAGCGAAACCAUCAGGUAUUAAUCUUUCUUUCGAAAGGCUAUCCCUGAGCCAUGGGUAGAUUGGAUACGCGUUACUCACCCGUGCGCCGGUCGCCAUCAGUCUUAGCAAGCUAAGACCAUGCUGCCCCUCGACUUGCAUGUGUUAAGCCUGUAGCUAGCGUUCAUC